AUGAAAAACUAUUUUUUUUAGUUCUUCAUACCCCAUUGUUUACUUACCUUUUUGCUUCCACGUGGACAGGCUUUCGAGCCCUCUAGCCUGCAUGAUUUAUCAUUAACGGCUGGGGAGUUGCCCGUGGUAAGACCCUAUAACAAAAUCUUGUUGAAAACCAAAAUGUCUGAUAUCUUCAUUAAAAAUGAAAUA
rnacentral:misc_RNA from 1 species